GGGAAGUAGCUUGCUACUUUGCCGGCGAGCGGCGGACGGGUGAGUAAUGUCUGGGAAACUGCCUGAUGGAGGGGGAUAACUACUGGAAACGGUAGCUAAUACCGCAUGACCUCGCAAGAGCAAAGUGGGGGACCUUCGAGCCUCACGCCAUCGGAUGUGCCCAGAUGGGAUUAGCUAGUAGGUGAGGUAAUGGCUCACCUAGGCGACGAUCCCUAGCUGGUCUGAGAGGAUGACCAGCCACACUGGAACUGAGACACGGUCCAGACUCCUACGGGAGGCAGCAGUGGGGAAUAUUGCACAAUGGGCGCAAGCCUGAUGCAGCCAUGCCGCGUGUGUGAAGAAGGCCUUAGGGUUGUAAAGCACUUUCAGCGAGGAGGAAGGGUUCAGUGUUAAUAGCACUGUGCAUUGACGUUACUCGCAGAAGAAGCACCGGCUAACUCCGUGCCAGCAGCCGCGGUAAUACGGAGGGUGCAAGCGUUAAUCGGAAUUACUGGGCGUUAAGCGCACGCAGGCGGUUUGUUAAGUCAGAUGUGAAAUCCCCGAGCUUAACUUGGGAACUGCAUUUGAAACUGGCAAGCUAGAGUCUUGUAGAGGGGGGUAGAAUUCCAGGUGUAGCGGUGAAAUGCGUAGAGAUCUGGAGGAAUACCGGUGGCGAAG
rnacentral:rRNA from 1 species